AGAGAACACGAUGCGAAAGCAAAGCGACAGCAGCAUGAGUACGCCAAGAAGCGAUUUAGAGGCCGUCCGAUUGUACGGAAACCCAUAAAGGAGAGCAAAGUUCUGGCGCAUAUCCACAGACACAUUUCGGUCACUCCAGGCCGACAAAAUCGGUACUUAUGGACCGGCUUACGUACGCUGUUACUGUUUUUUUCUGUUUCUUUAUUCUAAAGUUCUG
rnacentral:lncRNA from 1 species